GUUGCAGCUCUGAAGAACCCUAGUUCAACAACUUCAAACCCUUAUAACCAGAUCGAUCACAGGACCACCAUCAAUCUCUUCACUUCUCAAGACCCCAUCUCAGAUUCAAAAGCAAACCCUAGUCUCUUCUUCAACUUACUUCUUCUUAAUCAAGAGCACAGUCAUCAAAAUCAGCUUCAGAUCCCCUUUCAAAAAAUCGAUUGAACCACAACAACCCUAGUUUGAUCUGCAGAACUUAUUUGAACUAGCGAAAUUUGUUGCUACAAAAGGUGAUGGAUUUGAACUUGCUCCUGGUAGGCAGAUACAAUUGGGUUUCACAUUCUAUUACCCAGUAGAGAAGGCAUCAAUUGCGUUUGGAACUCCUAUUAAUUGGACAUAGAAUAUGCAGUAAAUAUAUGAACCUGGAUGGUGAAUGACACAAUUGGCACAUUAUUUCGGGGUAGAUACUUCAAUAAUGACGUCAUUGCUGCUGUGAUAUUGGGUACUGGAACAAAAGCAGCAUAUAUGGAGCGUGCACAUGCGUUUCCCAAGUGGCAUGGACUUUUACCCAAAUCAGGAUAGAUGGAGGUUAUCAACAUGGAGUGAGGAAACUUCUUACAUCUUCCUCUAACAGAAUAUGAUCAUUCUUUGGAUCCCGAGAGUCUAAAUGUUGGUGAUCAGCAUCUUGUUGUCUGGCUUCCAGCAUUAUGCCGUAAAAUGGAAAUCCCAUAUGCCAUAAUUUAGUUAAGGACCCGAGAACGAUGAACAAGGGAAGCCAGAUGGUGCGGCUCCAAGGGCAAAGAUGAACCAGCAAAAAAGCUUCUAGAGAUACACAAAAAGCAGCAAGUGUUUUUACAUAUACAGUAGUAGCAAAUACAGUAGUCAUGGACCCUGCUCAGAAAAAGAAGUACUUACUCAAGUUGAUCAGUGGGGAACACGUUGGAGCUUUGGCUACGAGUGAACCCAAUGCUGGAUCUAAUGUUGUUAGCAUGAAAUGCAAAGCUGAUCGCGUAGAUGGUGGUUAUGUUAUUAAUGGAAACAAGAUGUGGUGCACGAAUGGCCCAGUUGCUCAAACAUUGGUAUUUGGGCUUCAGUCAAAAAGCAGUACUCUGGUGAUAUUUAAGCAGCAGCUGAAUCUACGUAAGCGGAGUCUCGGGAUGCUUCUGGUGAUAUUUUAGCUUUGUUUCCUUAUUUCUCAAUGCCACUGUCAGUUGACACAAACUAGGUUACCCAUCCAUUUAUGAACAUCAACAUAGAUCGAUUAUUGUAUGUCAGUCACAAAAUUUUGGGUUCAGUAAGUUUACUUGUGCACAUUUGUAUCAAUUGAAGAAUCCUUUCUUUUGUAAUA